rnacentral:miRNA from 1 species
AUGUAGAUGAGGUGAUGUUACACA